GUGGCCCUUCUCAAAAGUCUACAGUAAUCUUAAUAAACCAUAAUAGUUCACUACAGGCUUCAUCAUUUUGUAAUGACUGAGAAAGGAUAGGUAAGAUUUUGAUAGCGAAUUGAGGAUUGCAUCCUUGCCUAAUUGUUCAUACAACAAAAAGUCAAAUUUGUUAAGGCAUUCAAUCUGGUUAAUCAUGUAUAAUAUAUGAUCGGUGACUGGAGCCUCCUUUCACAU
rnacentral:lncRNA from 1 species